UACGUAGGGGGCUAGCGUUGUCCGGAUUUAUUGGGCGUAAAGAGCGUGUAGGCGGUCAGGUAGGUCGGUUGUGAAAACUGGAGGCUCAACCUUCAGAGGUCGACCGAAACCCCCUGGCUAGAGUCCGGGAGAGGAGAGUGGAAUUCCUGGUGUAGCGGUGAAAUGCGCAGAUAUCAGGAAGAACACGCGUGGCGAAAGCGGCUCUCUGGAACGGUACUGACGCUGAGACGCGAAAGCGUGGGGAGCGAACAGG
rnacentral:rRNA from 1 species